rnacentral:rRNA from 1 species
UACGUAGGGGGCAAGCGUUGUCCGGAAUCAUUGGGCGUAAAGAGCGUGUAGGCGGCCAUACAGGUCCGUUGUGAAAACUCGAGGCUCAACCUCGAGACGUCGAUGGAAACCGUAUGGCUAGAGUCCGGAAGAGGAGAGUGGAAUUCCUGGUGUAGCGGUGAAAUGCGCAGAUAUCAGGAGGAACACCGGUGGCGAAGGCGGGUCUCUGGGCCGAUACUGACGCUGAGGAGCGAAAGCGUGGGGAGCGAACAGG